GAUGAACGCUGGCGGCGUGCCUAAUGCAUGCAAGUCGAGCGAAUGGAUUAAGAGCUUGCUCUUAUGAAGUUAGCGGCGGACGGGUGAGUAACACGUGGGUAACCUGCCCAUAAGACUGGGAUAACUCCGGGAAACCGGGGCUGAUACCGGAUAACAUUUUGAACCGCAUGGUUCGAAAUUGAAAGGCGGCUUCGGCUGUCACUUAUGGAUGGACCCGCGUCGCAUUAGCUAGUUGGUGAGGUAACGGCUCACCAAGGCAACGAUGCGUAGCCGCCCUGAGAGGGUGAUCGGCCACACUGGGACUGAGACACGGACCAGACUCCCACGGGAGGCAGCAGUAGGGAAUCUUCCGCAAUGGACGAAAGUCUGACGGAGCAACGCCGCGUGAGUGAUGAAGGCUUUCGGGUCGUAAAACUCUGUUGUUAGGGAAGAGCAAGUGCUAGUUGAAUAAGCUGGCACCUUGACGGUACCUAACCAGAAAGCCACGGCUAACUACGUGCCAGCAGCCGCCGUAA
rnacentral:rRNA from 1 species